GACGAACCGUGCGAACGUUGUUCGGAAUCACUGGGCUUAAAGGGCGCGUAGGCGGCUCCGCAAGUCGGGGGUGAAAUCUUUCGGCUUAACCGGAAAAGUGCCUCUGAUACUGCGGAGCUCGAGGGAGGUAGGGGCGGACGGAACUUCCGGUGGAGCGGUGAAAUGCGUUGAUAUCGGAAGGAACGCCGGUGGCGAAAGCGGUCCGCUGGCCCUCUACUGACGCUGAGGCGCGAAAGCCAGGGGAGCAAACGGGG
rnacentral:rRNA from 1 species